GCUAACGCGUUAAGUAGACCGCCUGGGGAGUACGGCCGCAAGGUUAAAACUCAAAUGAAUUGACGGGGGCCCGCACAAGCGGUGGAGCAUGUGGUUUAAUUCGAUGCAACGCGAAGAACCUUACCUGGUCUUGACAUCCACAGAAGAAUCCAGAGAUGGAUUGGUGCCUUCGGGAACUGUGAGACAGGUGCUGCAUGGCUGUCGUCAGCUCGUGUUGUGAAAUGUUGGGUUAAGUCCCGCAACGAGCGCAACCCUUAUCCUUUGUUGCCAGCGAUUAGGUCGGGAACUCAAAGGAGACUGCCAGUGAUAAACUGGAGGAAGGUGGGGAUGACGUCAAGUCAUCAUGGCCCUUACGACCAGGGCUACACACGUGCUACAAUGGCGCAUACAAAGAGAAGCGACCUCGCGAGAGCAAGCGGACCUCAUAAAGUGCGUCGUAGUCCGGAUUGGAGUCUGCAACUCGACUCCAUGAAGUCGGAAUCGCUAGUAAUCGUGGAUCAGAAUGCCACGGUGAAUACGUUCCCGGGCCUUGUACACACCGCCCGUCACACCAUGGGAGUGGGUUGCAAAAGAAGUAGGUA
rnacentral:rRNA from 1 species